GUGGGUCAAUUGACACAGUCAAUUCCUCGCAGUCUUUCUUUGUGGUUACACUGUGAUUUCAGAACAGAUCAUUUUUUUAAAUUCUGCGUUUCCCACACAUUAAUUUUUUUCGUGGUAGACCGCCACAAAUAGAUUUGGAGCUAACAGGAUAUCCUGCUUGGACUUGCAUGGAAAAAGCUCCCUGCAGACUCAAGAAUAAGCCAACUCACCUUGAGCUCCAACACAAGAUCCAUCCGCUUCUUUCCAAGCGGGUUGAUGUCAUUCAGGAUCAGAGCAAUGAUGAUAUCGAUUCCAUUGGACUCGGGCCUUGGCAGUACUCAGUGAGGCUCUCUAGAGUUUGGUUGAUGAGGGCAACAUUCUUCUCGUUGAUGUACAGUCCCAACAAGCCCAGACCUCCUGUGGUGCUGCCGCAGAUGCAGUCCAGGAACUGAAGAGUCUCACACACCAGGUUGUAGUUGUUCUUGUGGUUUUGACAACGAAGAAAGUUCUGAGGAGAUAGAAACAGUCGGUUAGCUAAACUGCAUAGAAUGAUAUAUGAUCAAUCGAUUGCAACUAGACUGUUCAGUUUGUUUAAAAAGACAAGACAGGCUUCAUCAGUUCAAGCUCACAGACUCAGAUUGGUCAGAUCUACUGUAGUUGAAGUCUGCGGACUUGAUCUGACCAAUUGAAGAUUGUUUUCUAAGAACUUUUCGGUACUUUUCUAAAUAAAGGGGACCACAAAAAAAUUUAUUAAUUCCUUUAUUUUAACAAAAAAUCUUAGGGUACAUUAAACAUACGUUUCUUUUGGAAGUGAUAAAUAAAAUAGUGAACAUACAAAACUUGUCUUUUAUUAGUAAGUAAGCAAACAAAGGCUCCUAAUUUAGCUGCUGACAUAUGCAGUAACAUAGUGUCAUUUUCCAUUCUAUUAUUUUGUCAAAAUGAUUAAGGACAAGUGGUAAAAAAUUAAUUAUUAAUCUACUUGUUAAUUUACUGUUAAUAUCUGCUUACCGGUACUUUUCAGAGGCAGUAUAGUACCGAAUAUGAUUCAUUAGUAUCGAGGUACUAUACUAAUACCGGUAUACCGUACAACCCUAGUUCAAACUUAUAAUGGUCAGUAGACUCCAUAUAGAAGCGCUAAAGACUACAAUGGCUGACGGGGAGAAGACGCUGUCGAAGUGGAGCCACGUAAACAAGACCGCCCACAAAACGGCGCAUCCUGAAGAGACGGUCAGAAAGCGGCUUUGUAAAACAUAAUCUAUGCAACAUUUUGACCAAAAAACACCAUUAAAAAAAAUCAUAUGACCCCCUUAAAGCAGUUUUGAGUAACAGCAAGAGAUAAAAACACCUUGUCAUCAUCAAUCACAACACAAGUACGGUAGAAGCUGAUACAGUCUAUCUUCAUUAUCUCAUCAUGAAACAGUCUUGUGUAAUGCCUUCAGAAUACCAUUAUUAAACACGUGUACAGAGUAACCAAGGUGAACAUCACGCCCAUUAAAAGCAGCAAAGAGUGAGAGCCAAAUGUAAAACUCAUCAAGUGCACCUUGGCUUGACCAGACCAACCUGCAAGUCACGGUUGUGAUUCUCGCAGAGUAGCUGCAGGAAGCGAAGGAUGGGCUGCAUGAUAAUGAUGACGUAACUCAUCUCUCCUUCGUCCUGAUUCUUGUCCCCGGCGCUUGGCUGGCCAUCUGCUGAGGUGAAGUGGUCCUCUGGGUCAGCUUCACGCCGAUAAGAGUUAAAAGCCUUCUUGGUGGCAGACGAGGCCUCCACGAGUUGCUCUCGCACUUCCUCUGUCAUGACGACCGCUGAUUCUCUUGCUGAACACACACAAAUCAGAUUCCACAGGCUCAUGCCCCACCCCGGGCCUCCACCACUAAGCGGAAGCUCUCCUGCACGUACGCACCAUCAACACUCAGGGAUGAGCAGACAGCAGACUAAGGAGGGAGGCGGGGUAGAGAGUUGCUGAGCCAGGCCGCCCGUCGCCCAAUAAACAACUCUGAUGACAGAGUGGAGUGAGGGACUGCCUACAACUCACAGAAGGGCUGCACGAUUCUGGAAAAAAUGUGAACCAACAUUUUUUGAGACGAUUUUUUCACACAUGCGCACACACAUAGCUCAGUGCUUACAAGAAAUUGCACUGUUUAUUAUCUUUACUAUCAUUAUUACCUCUGCCGGGAGUUUAUGUAAUCACCAGGGUGUGUCUAUUUAUCAAUUAUUGAGCAAUGAUUUUUGGGUGGGUAUUAAUAAAACUUUCAGGAAAUGUCCAAAAAGUGAUAAGCAAUAUCUGAUUUGAUUUUGGGGGUGUUCCGGAUAAUUUCUACUACAAUACGACAAUGUUACAAAGCUGAACUUCUGUGUAUGUGUAGGUUAGCGGCCCCGCCUCCGCCCACAGAGACAAAGACAGUGGUAACUGAAAGAGGCUUCACUCUGUUGAUCUUAUUUUGCCAUAGUGAUGGGCAGAUAUUGAUGAAACUGUUAGGAAAUGUCACAAAUGGGAUAAGGAACAAGUGAUUAAGUGACAAGUGAUUACAUUUUGGGGGUGAUCCUGAUCACUGUCUGGAUACUUCACUUUAUCAGACUUGGUGAGGCAGCAUUUUAAUUUUAUGCUCCUAAAAUCUGGAACAGUCUGACAGUAGAUGUAAGACUUGCCUCAACGUUGGCAAUGCUCAAACCCAGGCUGAAAAAACUUUUAUUUAACUGUGCAUAUGACAACUGAACAUAUUUUAUCUAAACUCUUUGAUUAAAAUUGAAUUAAUUCAUCAUUGUUUUUUGCCUUCAGUACCAAUUGUGCUCUAUAAAUAAACAUGCUUUGCCUACUAUCGGGAGACUAUUAGGUCUCCGUGCUAUUUAAAUGCUUUUUUUAGUUAUUAUUUUUAUCAUUAGGCAAUGCAAGGUAAGGCAGUUUUAUUUAUAUAGCACAUUUCAUACACAAGGUAGGUUAAUGUAAAUGGUAAAUGGGUUAUUCUUGUAUAGCGUUUUUCUACCUUCAAGGUACUCAAAGCACUUUGACACUAUUUCCACAUUCACCCAUUCACAAACUGAUGGUGGGA